rnacentral:ncRNA from 1 species
GUCUAAGUACACAUGACAGGUACAGUGAAACUGCGAAUGGCUCAUUAAAUCAGUUAUGGUUCCUUUGGUCACUUGCUCCCUCCUACUUGGAUAACUGUGGUAAUUCUAGAGCUAAUACAUGACAAGAAUGCUGACCUGGGCCCCCUUCCCCCACGCAGGUGGGGCCCCGGGGACGUGCGUGCAUUUAUCAGACCAAAACCAAACCCGGUGGCUUCCCCCAACCCCCCAACCCAGGGUGGGGGUGUCCCGACCGCUUUGGUGACUCUAGAUAACCUCGGGCCGAUCGCAUGCCACCCCUUCUCCCCCUCCCUCCCCCCCGUGGCGGUGAUGACCCAUUCCAACGUCUACUGUAUCAACUUUCGAUGGUACUUGCGGUGCCUACCAUGGUGACUGCGGGUGUCGGAGAAUCAGGGUUCAAUUGG